AGUAACACGUGGGUGAUCUGCCUUGCACUCUGGGAUAAGCUUGGGAAACUGGGUCUAAUACCGGAUAGGAACCGUCUUUAGUGUGGUGGUUGGAAAGUUUUUCGGUGCAAGAUGAGCUCGCGGCCUAUCAGCUUGUUGGUGGGGUAAUGGCCUACCAAGGCGUCGACGGGUAGCCGGCCUGAGAGGGUGUACGGCCACAUUGGGACUGAGAUACGGCCCAG
rnacentral:rRNA from 1 species